rnacentral:tRNA from 1 species
GGAGAAGUACUCAAGUGGUCGAAGAGACACCCCUGCUAAGGGUGCAGGUCGGGAAACCGGCGCGAGAGUUCGAAUCUCUCCUUCUCCGCCA